AAACCUUUGACUCUGUCGCUGUGUAGUAUCUGUUGUCAUCAGUUUAAUAUCUGAUACGUUCUCUAUCAGAGAACUUCUUAUGAAACGCAUUUUUAGAACAAGGGAACGCCAGAGGGGCACGCUCCGGCUGCUCCGCGCCGCGGCUCAGUAUGGCAGCGCUUCCGAGAGAGAGUUGGAAGCAAC